rnacentral:rRNA from 1 species
ACUCCUACGGGAGGCAGCAGUGGGGAAUAUUGCACAAUGGGCGCAAGCCUGAUGCAGCCAUGCCGCGUGUAUGAAGAAGGCCUUCGGGUUGUAAAGUACUUUCAGCAGUGAGGAAGGUGGGUAUGUUAAUAGCAUACUCAUUUGUACGUUAGCUGCAGAAGAAGCACCGGCUAACUCCGUGCCAGCAGCCGCGGUAAUACGGAGGGUGCGAGCGUUAAUCGGAAUUACUGGGCGUAAAGCGCAUGCAGGUGGUUUGUUAAGUCAGAUGUGAAAGCCCGGGGCUCAACCUCGGAAUUGCAUUUGAAACUGGCAAACUAGAGUACUGUAGAGGGGGGUAGAAUUUCAGGUGUAGCGGUGAAAUGCGUAGAGAUCUGAAGGAAUACCGGUGGCGAAGGCGGCCCCCUGGACAGAUACUGACACUCAGAUGCGAAAGCGUGGGGAGCAAACAGGAUUAGAUACCCUGGUAGGCUCUC